AACGAACGCUGGCGGCAGGCCUAACACAUGCAAGUCGAGCGCGCCCUUCGGGGUUAGCGGCGGACGGGUGAGUAACGCGUGGGGAAGUGCCCUUCUCUGCGGAAUAGCCUCGGGAAACUGAGAGUAAUACCGCAUAUGAUCCCUGGGGGAAAGAUUUAUCGGAGAAGGGUCGGCUCGCGUCUGAUUAGGUAGUUGGUGGGGUAAUGGCCCACCAAGCCGACGAGCCAUAGCUGGUUUGAGAGGAUGAUCAGCCACACUGGGACUGAGGCAGGGCCCAGACUCCUACGGAGGGCAGAAGUGGGAAAUCUUAGUCAAGGGUGGCAACCCAGAUCCAGCCAUGCCGCAUGAGUGAUGAAGGCCGUAGAGUUGUAAUGCUCUUACAGCUGGGAGGAUAAUGACGGUACCAGCAGAAGAAGCCCCGGCUAACUCCG
rnacentral:rRNA from 1 species